UACGGAGGGGGCGAGCGUUAUUCGGAAUUAUUGGGCGUAAAGGGCGCGUAGGCGGCCCGCUAAGUCAAAGGUGAAAUCCCUCGGCUCAACUGAGGAACUGCCUUUGAGACUGUCGGGCUUGAGGCCGGGAGGGGUAGCGGAAUUCCCAGUGUAGCGGUGAAAUGCGUAGAUAUUGGGAGGAACGCCAGUGGCGAAGGCGGCUACCUGGACCGGUACUGACGCUGAGGAGCGAAAGCCAGGGGAGCAAACGGGAUUAAGAA
rnacentral:rRNA from 1 species